rnacentral:rRNA from 1 species
AUACGGAGGGUGCAAGCGUUAUUCGGAAUCACUGGGCGUAAAGGGUGCGUAGGCGGUUUGAUAAGUCUGAUGUGAAAUCCUAUGGCUCAACCAUAGAACUGCAUUGGAAACUGUCAGACUAGAAUACUGAAGGGGCAGAUGGAAUUAGUGGUGUAGGGGUAAAAUCCGUAGAUAUCACUAGGAAUACCGAAAGCGAAAGCGAUCUGCUGGGAAGUUAUUGACGCUGAGGCACGAAAGCGUGGGGAGCAAACAGGAUUAGAAACCCUUGUAGUCC